ACAGUCGGCCGAACCCUUAGGGUUGCUGGAGCCCAGGGCGCGGGGGAGCGCCGCGCACGCGGGCAGCUUUGUUCUCCGCAGAAACAGCAUCGAUUACAAGGGGAAACGGCCGGGGCAGGAAACAGGCGCGACCCGGGAGUAUGCGGGUCGCCUCCCUCGGAGCUCGGCGACUGAACGUCGGAGCCGGCCCUUGGCCCCCCCUGCAGUCGGAAGGUUACAGCAGCGGGAGCCAGAGAGGCGGUGGCGGCGGCCCAGGAAGGAGCAGCAGCGCCCGGG